GACGAACGCUGGCGGCGUGCUUAACACAUGCAAGUCGAACGGAAAGGCCCUGCUUGCAGGGUGCCCGAGUGGCGAACGGGUGAGUAACACGUGGGUGAUCUGCCCCUUACUUUGGGAUAAGCCUGGGAAACUGGGUCUAAUACUGGAUAGGACCAUGCUGUAGGUGGUGUGGUGGAAAGAUUAGUUUCGGUAAGGGAUGAGCUCGCGGCCUAUCAGCUUGUUGGUGGGGUAAUGGCCUACCAAGGCGUCGACGGGUAGCCGGCCUGAGAGGGUGGACGGCCACAUUGGGACUGAGAUACGGCCCAGACUCCUACGGGAGGCAGCAGUGGGGAAUAUUGCACAAUGGGCGCAAGCCUGAUGCAGCGACGCCGCGUGGGGGAUGACGGCCUUCGGGUUGUAAACUCCUUUCAGCCAUGACGAAGCCCUUGUGGUGACGGUAGUGGUAGAAGAAGCACCGGCUAACUACGUG
rnacentral:rRNA from 1 species